UAGGCAUGCAAGUCGAACGAAUGUCNUGUUUUGUAGCAAUACAGAGCUGGCGGAAGUGGCGAAAGGGGCAGUAAUGUAUGGGUAACCUACCUUGGGGAUGGGCAUAGCCGUUCUAACGAACGGGUAAUACACAGCGAUUCGACGGGAGGGCAUCCUUCUGUCGGGAAAUGAAUUUCGCCUCAAGAGGGGCCCAUGUCGUAUUAGCUAGUUGGUAGGGUAACGGCCUACUAAGGCAAAGAUGCGUAGCGGGUGUGAGAGCACGACCCGCGCCACUGGCACUGAGACACUGGCCAGACACCUACGGGUGGCUGCAGUCGAGGAUCUUCGUCAAUGGGCGCAAGCCUGAACGAGCGACGCCGCGUGCGCGAUGAAGGCCUUCGGGUUGUAAAGCGCGAAAGUGGGAAGAAAAGCGAAAGUUUGAUCGACCCACAGUAAGGACGGGCUAAGUUCGUGCCAGCAGCCGCGGUAAGACGAACUGUCCAAACGUUGUUCGGAAUCACUGGGCUUAAAGGGCGCGUAGGCGGUCCGCCAAGUCAGGGGUGAAAUCCUGCAGCUUAACUGUAGAAGUGCCUUUGAUACUGGCGGUCUGGAGGGAGGUAGGGGUGUGCGGAACUUCCAGUGGAGCGGUGAAAUGCGUUGAUAUUGGAAGGAACGCCGGAGGCGAAAGCGGCGCACUGGACCUCUUCUGACGCUGAGGCGCGAAAGCUAGGGGAGCAAACGGGAUUAGAUACCCCGGUAGUCCUAGCCCUAAACGAUGAGUACUAGAUUGUAGACUGAUCAUGGGUUUACAGUCGAAGCAAAAGUUUUAAGUACUCCGCCUGGGGAGUAUGGUCGCAAGGCUGAAACUCAAAGGAAUUGACGG
rnacentral:rRNA from 1 species